GGGGUUGUAGCUCAGUGGUAGAGUGCCUGCCUAGCAAGCAUGAGGCACUGGGUUCGAUCCUCAGCACCA
rnacentral:tRNA from 1 species